rnacentral:rRNA from 1 species
UACGUAGGGUGCAAGCGUUAAUCGGAAUUACUGGGCGUAAAGCGUGCGCAGGCGGUGAUGUAAGACAGUUGUGAAAUCCCCGGGCUUAACCUGGGAACUGCGUCUGAUACUGGAUGGCUUGAAUUCGGGAGAGGGAUGCAGAAUUCCAGGUGUAGCGGUGAAAUGCGUAGAUAUCUGGAGGAAUACCGGUGGCGAAGGCGGCAUCCUGGACCGAGAUUGACACUGAUGAGCGAAAGCUAGGGGAGCAAACGGG